UAAUUUUAAGGGCAAACUUGCCGAAAGACAAGGACGUAAAGCCAAGGGUCUAAGAUGUGAAUGCAUUAUGAUAGCCUGGCUGCCGUU
rnacentral:ncRNA from 1 species